GUUGGAAGAGAUCUUUAGAACAGCUGGUCAUUAUGCUGACCGGGUGCCUGCACUAAGUUCGGCAUCAAUAUGGUGACCUCCUGGGAGCGGUGGGGCCACCAAGUUGCCUAAGGAUGGCUGAACUGGCCCAGGUCAGAAAUGGAGCAGGUCAGAACUCCCACACCGACUGGUAGUGGGACUGGGCCUGGGCGGUAUAGCAAGAUCUUGGGUCUUAAAAAUA
ensembl:misc_RNA Metazoa_SRP Metazoan signal recognition particle RNA